AGCAGUGGGAUCCAAAGGAGACGCCUGAUGGCUUCGAGGAUGAGAAACAGUCAUUGGUACCAGCAAAACCUUUGAGUUCUCCAUCUUUUUCACUGUUUCUGAGGGCUGUGGCGUCAGCUGCAGAGCUCCAGCCAGCGGCAGAAGAAGAGCAGUGGGCAGUGGUGGAGGUAGAGCUGGCUCCAGCUCCGUUGACACCACCCCCUCUAGCACUGGAGCCAGUGUCCCCUCCACCAGCAGUGUUGGAGGUGGAGCAAGGGCCAACAUGGGCUCCAGCAGGAGUAGGAGCUGCUUAGCUGGAGUCACCUGGACCAUCAUUUCUAGUGAGAAGUCCAUCUCCACCUGUGGCUCUUAAGGAGCGUGAGAAGCUUAAUCUCAUGGCCUUCCCUCCUAAGCUGGUGGUGGAGCAGUUUACCAUGAUGGAUGCGGCUCCACCCUUUACCAAUCAUAAAACCUGGGCAACUUUCUGAACACCCAAGCCUUUGCUGUCCACCUGCAGACCAUGGAGGUGGACAUUAAGAGGACCUGCUGCACAGAGUGACUGUGCCAACUCCAUGAGGAGCUCUUCCAGAAGGUGGUG